UAACUGAAUCCAUAGGUUAAUGAGGCGAACCGGGGGAACUGAAACAUCUAAGUACCCCGAGGAAAAGAAAUCAACCGAGAUUCCCCCAGUAGCGGCGAGCGAACGGGGAGGAGCCCAGAGCCUGAAUCAGCAUGUGUGUUAGUGGAAGCGUCUGGAAAGGCGCGCGAUACAGGGUGACAGCCCCGUACACAAAAGUGCAUGUGCUGUGAGCUCGAUGAGUAGGGCGGGACACGUGGUAUCCUGUCUGAAUAUGGGGGGACCAUCCUCCAAGGCUAAAUACUCCUGACUGACCGAUAGUGAACCAGUACCGUGAGGGAAAGGCGAAAAGAACCCCGGCGAGGGGAGUGAAAAAGAACCUGAAACCGUGUACGUACAAGCAGUGGGAGCACCCUUUGGGGUGUGACUGCGUACCUUUUGUAUAAUGGGUCAGCGACUUAUAUUCUGUAGCAAGGUUAACCGAAUAGGGGAGCCGGAGGGAAACCGAGUCUUAAUUGGGCGUUAAGUUGCAGGGUAUAGACCCGAAACCCGGUGAUCUAGCCAUGGGCAGGUUGAAGGUUGGGUAACACUAACUGGAGGACCGAACCGACUAAUGUUGAAAAAUUAGCGGAUGACCUGUGGCUGGGGGUGAAAGGCCAAUCAAACCGGGAG
rnacentral:rRNA from 1 species